rnacentral:rRNA from 1 species
UUGAACGCUGGCGGCAUGCCUUACACAUGCAAGUCGAACGGUAGAGGGGCAACCCUUGAGAGUGGCGAACGGGUGAGUAAUGCAUCGGAACGUGCCCAGUCGUGGGGGAUAACGCAGCGAAAGCUGUGCUAAUACCGCAUGUGAUCUGUGGAUGAAAGCAGGGGACCGCAAGGCCUUGUGCGAUUGGGGCGGCCGAUGUCAGAUUAGCUAGUUGGUAAGGUAAUGGCCUACCAAGGCAACGAUGCAUAGCCG